rnacentral:rRNA from 1 species
AUACAUGCAAGUCGAGCGAAUGGAUUGAGAGCUUGCUCUCAANGAAGUUAGCGGCGGACGGNGUGAGUAACACGUGGGUAACCUGCCCAUAAGACUGGGAUAACUCCGGGAAACCGGGGCUAAUACCGGAUAACAUUUUGAACUGCAUGGUUCGAAAUUGAAAGGCGGCUUCGGCUGUCACUUAUGGAUGGACCCGCGUCGCAUUAGCUAGUUGGUGAGGUAACGGCUCACCAAGGCAACGAUGCGUAGCCGACCUGAGAGGGUGAUCGGCCACACUGGGACUGAGACACGGCCCAGACUCCUACGGGAGGCAGCAGUAGGGAAUCUUCCGCAAUGGACGAAAGUCUGACGGAGCAACGCCGCGUGAGUGAUGAAGGCUUUCGGGUCGUAAAACUCUGUUGUUAGGGAAGAACAAGUGCUAGUUGAAUAAGCUGGCACCUUGACGGUACCUAACCAGAAAGCCACGGCUAACUACGUGCCAGCAGCCGCGGUAAUACGUAGGUGGCAAGCGUUAUCCGGAAUUAUUGGGCGUAAAGCGCGCGCAGGUGGUUUCUUAAGUCUGAUGUGAAAGCCCACGGCUCAACCGUGGAGGGUCAUUGGAAACUGGGAGACUUGAGUGCAGAAGAGGAAAGUGGAAUUCCAUGUGUAGCGGUGAAAUGCGUAGAGAUAUGGAGGAACACCAGUGGCGAAGGCGACUUUCUGGUCUGUAACUGACACUGAGGCGCGAAAGCGUGGGGAGCAAACAGGA